CUCGUGUCAGACUCGGCAAAAAUGCCACAUUUUUGCUCUGCAUUUGGGUGUACGAACGAAAGAAGUGUUCAAACCAAGCAGAAGGGAAUAACAUUCCACAGUUUCCCAAAAAACACAGAUAGGAGACGGGCAUGGGUAGCAACAGUGAGGAGAAAGGACUUUGUCCCAAGUGACUCCUCAGUCAUCUGCGGCUGUCACUUCUGACCUGAGGACUUUGACAGGACUGGGCAGACUCCUAAAAAUAAUACUAGCUACUGUACACUGUAUUUUUUGUAAAUAUGACCUAAUAAUGUAAACAGUUCUGUGUCCAGGCUCCCAUGAGCACUGUGGUGUUAUACAUAUGAGAUUAAAGCAAAAUGUUGUGUAAA